rnacentral:rRNA from 1 species
GACGAACGCUGGCGGCGUGCUUAACACAUGCAAGGCGAACGGUAAGGCCCUUCGGGGUACACGAGUGGCGAACGGGUGAGUAACACGUGGGUAAUCUGCCCUGGAGUGGGGAAUAACACCGGGAAACCGGUGCUAAUACCGCAUACGAUCACAGAGGCUGCGGAUUUUGUGAUGAAAGGAGCAAUUCGCUCGAGGAGGAGCCCGCGGCUGAUUAGCUAGUUGGUGAGGUAAUGGCUCACCAAGGCAACGAUCAGUAUCCGGUCUGAGAGGACGGUCGGACACACUGGAACUGAGACACGGUCCAGACUCCUACGGGAGGCAGCAGUGGGGAAUUUUUGGCAAUGGGGGCAACCCUGACCAAGCAACGCCGCGUGGGUGAUGAAGUCUCUUGGGACGUAAAACCCUUUCGACGGGGACGAAACCGCAAGGUUGACGGUACCCGUAGAAGAAGCCCCGGCUAACUCCGUGCCAGCAGCCGCCGUAA